AACGCACGAGACCUGCGGACCUGCGGAAGGAUCAUUACAUGAUUUGAGGGGGCUCACGUCCCCUCAUCCAACCCACAAACCCCGAGGAACUUUUAUGUCGAGUGGUUCGGCGCUCUCUUUGAGAGCCGCCCCUCAAACGCAUCGCAGGCUUUUCGUGAAGGUCUGAUGUGUCACACCGUGAGUAUUAAAACUUUCAACAAUGGAUCUCU
rnacentral:misc_RNA from 1 species